UGGCUUUCCAGUUAAAAAUGCAUAUCACUUAUAUCAAAUAUAAAAGGGGAAAUAACUCUCAUAUGGAGUCUCCGGAUAGCUUCGGUCAGAAUUAAUCAAAUCAUCCUGAGGAUAUAACGAGCAAUUUGGUAAAAUAAAUUUGUCGGUUUCUUAUACGGUUGAGAAGAUUAAGCGAUAACAAGAAAAAUAGUGUUCGGGGAGAUAACUCUUAUAUGGUUUAGCAGGGUCAGUUUCAAAAGCGCAUAUACUGUUCGAUAUCAUAUUUCAUUUAUCUAAGCGACAUCUUGCGAAACAAAAAAACAGCGAAGAAAAAAAAAUUAAAAAACGACUUUUGUCUGCACUAGUUGCAAAGGGAAGCUAACUAGCUGAGGUCUACUUGAGAAAAAAAUCCAGGGUGUUGUUUUGCUUAAUUUCUUUUUUUUAACUAGGUCCAAAGUUUGGGUCGGACACCCUAUCCCACCCUUACAGAAAAGUUAAUAAAACAUGUUCUACGGCAAUACUUUUGUCUGCACUAGCUAUAUAGGUGCAAAGGCAAGCUGGGCAGCUGAGGUCUACUUGAGGAAAAAUCAAGGGUGUUGUUCGGCUUAGUUUUGUUUUUAAGUAGGUCCAGAGUUGGGGUCAGCGACCCUAACCAACCCUUACAGAAAAGUUAAUUAAAAAUGUUCUACGGCAAUACUUUUGUCUGCACUAGUUGCAAAAGGGAAGCUAAGUUUUGUUUUUAAGUAUGUCCAAAAAUGACGUCGGACACCCUUCCCAAACCUUACAGUUAAGUUAAUAGAAAAAAUGUUCUACGACAAUACUUUAGUCUGCACUAGGUGCAAAGAGAAGCUGGAUAGCUGAGAUCUACUUGAGAAAAAAUCCAGAUUGUUCUUAGCCUUAUUUUUUUUUUUAAAGUAGGUCAAAAGUUGGGGUCGUCACCCUACCAUACCCUUUAAGAAAAGUUAAUAAACAUAUGUUGUACGGCAAAACCUUUGUCCGCACUAGGUGGAAAUGGUGCUGCGUAGCUGAGGUCAACAUGAGUAAAAUUUAGUGUGUUGUUCGGCUUAGUUUUUUUUUCUUUGAAAGGCGGUCCACUGUAAGGGUCGGACACCCUACCCCUCCCUUACAGAAAGGUUAACAAAAAAUGUUCUACGGCAAUACUUUCGUCCGCACUAGGUGAAAAGGGAAGCUUAGUGGCUGAUGUCUACUUGAUAAAAAAUUCAGGGUGUUGUUCGGCUUAAUUUUUUUUUAACUAGGUCCAAAGUUGGGGUCGCAUACCUACCUUACCCUAACUAAAAUUUUUAAUAAACAUGUUUAACGGCAAACCUUUUGUCCGCACCAGGUGCAAAGGGAAGCUGGGUAGCUGAUGUCUACUUAAUAAAAAGUCCAGGGUGUUGUUCGGCUUAAUUAUUUUUUUUAACUAGGUCCAAAGUUGGGACCGGACAUCCUAUCACACCCUUACAGAAAACUUAAUUAAAAAUGUUCUACGGCAAUACUUUUGUCUGCACUAGCUAUAUACGUGCGAAGGGAAGCUGGGCAGUUGAGGUCUACUUGAGAAAAAAACAAGGGUGUUGUUCGGCUUAGUUUUGUUUUUAAGUAGGUCCACAGUCGGGGUCGGACACCCUAACCCAACCUUACAUAAAAAAUUAAUUAAAAAUGUUCUACGGCAAUACCUUUGUCUGUACUAGGUGCAAAGGGAAGCUAAGUAGCUGAGGUAUACUUGAGAAAUAAUCCAGGGUGUUGUUCGGCUUAGUUUUUUUUUUUAUUAACUAGGUCCCAAGUUGGGGUCGGACACCUUAUCCCACCCUUACAGAACAGUUAAUAUACAUUGUUCUACGGCAAUACUUUUGUCUGCACUAGGUGCAAAGGGAAGCUGGGUAGCUGAUGUCUACUUGAUAGAAAAAUCCAGGGUGUUUUUCGGCUAUGUUUUGUUUUUAAGUAUGUCCACAGUUGGGGUCGGACACCCUACCCCAACCUUACACAAAAGUUAAUAAAAAAAAUGUUCUACGGCAAUACUUUAGUCUUCACUAGGUGCAAAGAGAAGCUGGGUAACUGAGAUCUACUUGAUAAAAAAUCAAGGAUGUUCUUCGGCUUAGGUUUUUUUUUGAAGUAGGUCCACAGUUGGGAUCGGACACAAACCCACCCUGAGAGAAAAGUUAAUAAAAAUAUGUUGUACGGCAAAACCUUUGUCCGCACUAGCUGGAAAUGGAGCUGCGUAGCUGAAGUCAACAUGACAAAAAAUCUAGGGUGUUCUUCGGCUUAGUUUUUUUCUUGAGUAGGUCCAAAGUUGGGGUCGGAUAUCCUAUCCCACCCUUACAGGAAAGUUAAUAAAAAAUGUUAUACGGCAAAAAUUUUGUCUGCAAUAGGUGCAAAGGGAAGCUGUGUAGCUGAUGUCUACUUGAUAAAAUAUCCAGAGUUUCUUUCGGCUUAGUUUAUUUUUUAAGUAGGUCCAAAAUUGGGGUCGGACAUCCUAUCCCACCGUUACAGAUAGGUUAAUAAAAAAUGUUCUCCCUAAUACUUUUGUCCGGACUAGGUGCAGAGGGAAGCUGUGUAGCUGAUGUCUACUUGAUAAAAUAUCCAGAGUUUUGUUCGGCUUAGUUUAUUUUUUAAGUACGUCCAAAUUUGGGGUCAGACAUCCUAUCCCACACUUACAGAUAGGUUAAUAAAAAAAUGUUCUACCCAAUACUUUGUCCGCACUAGGUGCAAAGGGUAGGUGGGUACCUGAGAUCUACUUGAGGCCACAUCCAGGGUGUUGUUAUGGUUAGUUUUUUUUUAUGUAGAUGCAAAGUUGAGGUCGGACAUCCUAUCCCAUCCUUGUACGACUUUGCCCCCCGCAGAGCUAUAGAAAAACAGUACAUUAACGGGUGUUACACGGACUCUUUUUAGACGAUACACGGACUCUUUUUAGUUGUUACACGGACACUUUUUAUGAAUAGAAUCACUCGUGCAUGAUCAGUUAGUUCAUGGGGACUUUAACUUUCAAUUAGAUUUGAACUUUUUGUUUUAAUGUUUUGAAUGAUUCCUGAUUUUCCAAAUACCGUUAAUAGUGCUCAUUGGCGGAUCCAGGGGGGAGGGGGUCCGGGGUUGGAACCCCCCUUUUUUGUUGGCCGAUCAAUGCAUUUGAAGGGGGACAUAUAGUUGGAACCCCCUUUUUAAAAUGACCGAUCCGCCCCUGGUGCUAAUUUAAACGAAAACAUGUGGGUGAUGGCGUUGAAAAGUAAAUAGUUAAUAUACUCAAAAAAGAACAUGAAGCAAAAUAUUCGGUCAAUAAAUGUUUUCUUCAAUAUAUGGACAUGAAUAGUAUUUCGGACAAAAAAAUGAAUGCUGAAAGUAAAGAAAGGAUGAUACUGACGUGAACAUUUCAAUAAAAAUAAGACAGGAAAUAAGUAAAUAAAAAUCAAUCUAAUAUCAAAAGAUAAAAUCCCUAUCAACUCAACAAUGCACGAUUUAUCCUAUUAACAAAAAGUGUUCAUGUAAUACACGUCCAAAUGAGCAGCAAAUCUAGAAGAAAAUCAUUCAACUUAUGUCAUCAAUUUUGGGCGGUAAGCUGCGAUUGAAUCAUAUAGUAACACGUGUUUAAUCCCGAUCAACAGAUCUAGAGACGAGCAUGAAUUUUAAAAAAAAUCAAAGUAUAUUCCUGAAUAUAUAUAAUAUUAAGACAAAAUCCAUUUUUUCAUAAAUAUUUCAUUCACUAAUGAAGUAGGAAAUUCAUUCUUUUGAUACCUUUAAAUUGUUAUCGAAUCUUUUUAAAAAGUAUUAAAUGUGUUCAACAUUUAUCUUUUACUUGAAAUGGUUCUUUUUUUUUUAUCAAAUUAUUAGAUUCCUGAUUUUUUUUUCUUGAAAAAAAAUCUCGGUUGAAGGGAAAUGAAAAAAAAGUGUGUUCAUACUAUAACUUACAUUUACUGCUUUAUGGCUAUCCAAGUUUCGCAAAUGUUUAGUCUUGCUUAAAGUAUUAUUACUUGAAACGUCGUACAAGUCAGAUAAAAAACAAAAGUAACAAAAGAAACAGACCGGUUACAACCAGCCGAAUAGUUUUUCUGCACUUGUAGUCAGGUCAAGGUCCUCGGCUAUCGUCUCGGACCUUGACCUGACUACUCGUGCAGAAAAACUAUCCGGCAACGGUUGUUACCGGCCUGUUUCUUUGUUACCUUUGUAUUUUAUCUAAUACUUACAGAAAAGUUAAUAAAAAAAUGUUCUACGGCAAUACUUUUGUCCGCACUAGGUGCAAAGGGAAGCUGGGUUGCUGAUGUAUACUUUAUAAAAAAUCCAGGAUGUCGUUCGGCUUAAUUUUUUUUUACCAAGGUCCAAAGUUGGGGUCUGACACAUUACCCAACCCUCACCAAAAAUGUUUAUUAAUCAUGUUGUACGGCGAAACUUGUGUCUGCACUAGAUGCAAAGGAAAGCUGGGUAGCUGAGGUCUACUUGAGAAAAAAUCAAGGGUUUUUUUUCGGCUUAGCUUUGUUUGUAAGUAGGUCCACAGCUGGGUUCGGACACCAUACUCCAACCUUACAGAAAAGUUAAUAAAAAAAAAUGUUCUCCGGCAAAACUUUUGUCCGCACUAGGUGCAAAUGGAGCUGGGUAGCUGAGGUCAACAUGAUAAAAAAUCUAGGGUGUUGUUAGGCAUAGUUUUUUUCAUUUAAAGUAGGUCCAAAGUUCGGGUCGGACACCAUACCCACCCUUACAGAAAAGUUAAUAAAAAAUGUUCAACGUCAAUACUUUUGUCCACAAUAGGUGCAACGGGAAGCUGGGUUGCUGAUGUCUACUUGAUAAAAAAUACAGGGUGUUGUUCGGCUUAAUUUUUUUUUAAACUAGGUCCAAAAUUGGGGUCGGACACCCUACCAAACCCUUACUAAAAAAAAUAUUUUUAAUGUUGUACCGCAAAACUUGUGUCUGUACUAGGUGCAAAGGGAAGCUUAGUAGCUGAUGUUUUUCGGCUUAGUUUUGUUUUUAAGUAGGUCCACAUUUGGGGUCGGACACCCAACCCAACCCUUACAGAAAAGUCAAUAAAAAAUGUUCUACGACAAUACUUUCGUCCGCAUUAGGUGAAAAGGGAAGCUUAGUAGCUGAUGUCUACUUGAUAAAAAAUCUAGGGUGUUGUUCGGCUUCAUUUUUCUUACUAGGCCCAAAGUUGGGGUCGGACACCCUACCAAACCCUUACUGAAAAGUUUAUUAAAGAUGUUCUACGGCAAAACUUGUGUCUGCAAUUGGUGCAAAGGGAAGCUAGGUAGCUGAGGCCUACUUGAUAAAAAUCCAGAGUGUUUUUCGGCUUAGUUUUGUUCUUAAGUAGGUCCACAGUUGGAGUCCGAAACCGAAAAGUUAAUAAAAAAUGUUCUACGGCAAUAAUUUUUUCCGCACUAGGUGCCAAGGGAAGCUGGGUAGCUCAUGUCUACUUGAUAAAAAAUCCAAGGUGUUUUUCGGCUUGGUUUUGUUUUUAAGUAGGUCCACAGUUGGGGUCGGACACCUUAUCCCACCCUUACAGAAAAGUUAAUAAAACAUGUUCUACGGCAAUACUUUUGUCCGCAAUAGGUGCAAAGGGAAGCUGGGUAGCUGAGGUCUACUUGAUAAAAAAUCCAGGGUGUUUUUCGCCUUAAUUUUGUUUUUUAACUAGGUCCAAAGUUUGGGUCGGACACCCUACCCAACCAUUACUAAAAAGUUUAUUAAUAAUGUUCUACGGCAAAAGUUUUGUCAUCACUAGGUGCAAAUGGAAUCUGGGUAGCUGAUGUCUACUUGAUAAAAAAUCCUGGGUGUUGUUCGGCUUAAUUUUGUUUUUUAACUAGGUCCAAAGUAAGGAUCGGACAUCCUAUCCCACCCUUACAGAAAACUUAAAAAAAUGUUCUUCGGCAAUGCUUUUGUCCGCAUUAGGUUCAAAGGGAAGCUGGGUUGCUAAUGUCUACUUGAUAAAAAAUCCAGGGAGUUGUUUGGCUUUAUUCUUUUUUUAACUAGGUCCAAAUUUGGGGUCGGACACCCUUUUACCACCCUUACAGAAAAGUCAAUACAAAAUGUUCUACGGCAAUACCUUUGUCCGCGCUAGUUGCAAAGGGAAGAUGGGUAGCUUAUGUCUACUUGAGAAAAAAUCCAGGGUGUUUUUCGACUCAGUUUUUUUAUAAAGUAGGUCCAAAGUUGGGGUCGGACAUCCUACCCAACCCUUAGUGAACAGUUAAUAAAAUUAUUUCUACUGCAAUACGGUUGUCCGCACUAGGUGCAAAGGGAAGCUGGGUAGCUGAGGUCUACUUCAUAAAAAAUCCAGGGUGUUUUUCGGCUUAGUUUUGCUUUUAAGUAUGUCCACAGUUGGUGUCGGACACCUUAUCCCACCCUUACAGAAAAGUUGAUAAAAAAUGUUCUACUGCAAUACUUUUAUCCGCACAAGGUGCAAAGGGAAGCUGAGUAGCUGAUGUCUACUUGAUAAAAAAUCCAGGGUGUUGUUCGGCUUAAUUUUGUUUUUUUAACUAGGGCCAAAGUUGGGGUCGGACACCCUACCCAACCAUUACUAAAAAGUUUAUUGAUAAUGUUCUACGGCAAACCUUUUGUCCGCACUAGGUGCAAAGGGAAGCUGGGUAGCUGAUAUCUACUUUAUAAAAAAUCCAGGGUGUUGUUCGGCUUAAUUUUGUUUUUUAACUAGGGCCAAAGUUGGGGUCGGACACCCUUUUACCAACCUUACAGAAAAGUCAACACAAAAAUGUUUUACGGCAAUACCUUUGUCCACACUAGUUGCAAAGGGAAGAUGGGUAACUUAUGUCUACUUGAGAAAAAAUCCAGGGUGUUUUUCGACUCAGUUUUCUUAUAAAGUAGGUCCAAAGUUGGGGUCGGACAUCCUACCCAACCCUUAGUGAACAGUUAAUAAAAUAUUUCUACGGCAAUACGGUUGUCCGCUCUAGGUCCAAAGGGAAGCUGGGUAGCUGAGGUCUACUUCAUAAGAUAUCCAGGGUGUUGUUUGGCUUAGUUUUAUUCAAAGUAGGUCCAAAGUUGGGGUCGGACACCCUACCCCACCCUUUCAGAAAAGUUAAUGAAAAAUGUUUUGCGGCUUAACUUGUGUCUGCACUAGGUGCAAAGGGAAGCUGGGUAGCUGAGGUCUAUAUCAGAAAAAAAUCCAGUUACUUGGAUUUCAUUUGCACGUAGUGCGGAUAAAAGGAUUGCCGUAGAACAUUUUGUUUUUAACUCUUCUGUAAGCAUGGCAAGGGUGGAGUAGAGAGUCCGACCCAAAUUUGGACCUUCUUAAAAAAAAAACUAAGCUGAUGAACACACUGGAUUUUUUUCUGAUAUAGACCUCAGCUACCCAGCUUCCCUUUGCCUACUUGAGAAAAAAUCCAGGGUGUUGCUCGGCUUCGUUUUUUUUUAAGUAGGUCCGAAGUUGGGAUCAGACAUCUUACCCUACUCUUACUGAAAACAUAAUAAAAAUGUUCUACGGCAAGACUUUUGUCCGCACUAGGUACAAAAGGAAGCUGGGUAGUUGAUGUCUACUUGAUAAAAAAUCCAGGGUGUUGUUCGGCUUUAUUUUGUUUUUUAACUAGGUCCAAAUUUAGGGUCGGACAUCUUAUUCAACCCUUACAGAAAAACUUUAAAAAAAAUGUUCUACGGCAAUGCUUUUGUCCGCACUAGGUGCAAAGGGAAGCUGGGUUGCUGAUGUCUACUUGAUAACAGAAUCCAGGGUGUUGUUCGGCUUUGCUGUUUUCAAGUAAGUCCAAAGUUGAGGUCGGACGCCCAUUUACCAAACUUACAGACAAGUCAAUACAAAAUUUGCUUUUGUCCGCACUAUUUGCAAAGAGAAGAUGGUAGCUGAGGUCUACUUGAUAAAAAAAUCCAGGGUGUUGUUUGGCUUAGUUUUAUUCAAAGUAGGUCCAAAGUAGGGGUCGGACAACCUACCCGAACCUUACAGAAAAGUUAAAAAAAAAUGUUCUACGGCAAUAUUUUUGUCUGCACUAGGUGCAAAGGGAAGCUGGGUUGCUGAGAUAUACUUCAGACAAAAUCCAGGGUGUUCUUUGUCUUAGUUUUUUUUUAAAGAGGUCCAAAUUUUAAGUUUGGGUCGUACACCGUACCCCACCCUUUAAGAAAAGUUAAUAAAAAUAUGUUGUACAGAAAAACUUUUGUCCGCACUAGGUGGAAAUGGAGCUGGAUAGCUGAGAUCAACAUGAGAAAAAAUCCAGGGUGUUGUUCGUCUUAGAUUUAUUUUUAAGAAGGUCCACAGUUGGGGUCGGACACCCUACCCCACCCUUACAGAAAAGUUAAUAAAAAAAGUUCAUCGGCAUAAAUUGUGUCUGCACUAGGUGCAAAGGGAAGCUGGGUAGCUGAGGACUACUUGAGAAAAAAUCCAGGGUGUUGUUCGGCUUAGUUUUGUUUUUAAGUAGGUCCACAGUUGGGGUCAGAUACCCUACCCCACCCUUACAGAAAAGAUAAUAAAAAAUGGUCAACAGCAAUACUUUUGUCCGCAUUAGAUGCAAAUGGGAAGCUUAGUAGCCAUGGUAGCUGAUGUCUACUUGAUAAAAAAUCCAGGGUGUUGUUCUGCUUAAUUUUUUUUUUACUAGAUCCAAAGUUGGGGUCGGACACCCUACCCAACCCUACUAAAAAGUUGAUCUAUAAUGUUGUACGGAAAAACUUGUGUCUGCACUAGGUGCAAACGGAAACUGGGUAGCUGAGGUCUCUUUGAUAAAAAAUUCCGGGUAUUUUUCGGCUUAGUUUUUUAAGUAGGUCCAAAGUUGCGGUCGGACACACAACCCCAACCUUACAGAAAAGCUAAUAAAACAAAAUGUUCUACGUCGAUACAUUUGUCUGCACUAGGUGCAAAGGGAAACUGGGUAGUUGAUGUCUACAUGAGAAAAAAUCCAGGGUAUUUUUCGGCUUAGUUUUUUUAUUUAAACUAGGUCCAAUGUUGGGGUCGGACACCCUACCCCACCCUUUAAGAAAAAUUAAUAAAAAUAGGUUGUACGCAAACACUUUUGUCCCCCCUAGGUGGAAAUGCAACCUGCUAGCUGAGGUCAACAUGAGAAAAAAUCUAGGGUGUUGUUCGGCUUACUUUUUUUCUUUUAAAGUAGGUCCAAAUUUAGGGUCGGACAUCUUAUUCAACCCUUACAGAAAAACUUUAAAAAAAUGUUCUACGGCAAUGCUUUUGUCCGCACUAGGUGCAAAGGGAAGCUGGGUUGCUGAUGUCUACUUGAUAACAAAAAUCCAGGGUGUUGUUCGGCUUUGCUGUUUUCAAGUAAGUCCAAAGUUGAGGUCGGACGCCCAUUUACCAAACUUACAGACAAGUCAAUACAAAAUUUGCUUUUGUCCGCACUAUUUGCAAAGAGAAGAUGGCAGCUGAGGUAUACUUGAUAAAAAAAUCCAGGGUGAUGUUUGGCUUAGUUUUAUUCAAAGUAGGUCCAAAGUAGGGGUCGGACAACCUACCCGAACCUUACAGAAAAGUUUAAAAAAAAAUGUUCUACGGCAAUAUUUUUGUCUGCACUAGGUGCAAAGGGAAGCUGGGUUGCUGAGAUAUACUUCAGAAAAAAUCCAGGGUGUUCUUUGUCUUAGUUUUUUUUUUAAAGAGGUCCAAAUUUUAAGUUUGGGUCGUACACCUUACCCCACCCUUUAAGAAAAGUUAAUAAAAAUAUGUUGUACAGAAAAACUUUUGUCCGCACUAGGUGGAAAUGGAGCUGGAUAGCUGAGAUCAACAUGAGAAAAAAUCCAGGGUGUUGUUCGUCUUAGAUUUUUUUUAAGAAGGUCCACAGUUGGGGUCGGACACCCUACCCCACCCUUACAGAAAAGUUAAUAAAAAAAUGUUCAUCGGCAUAAAUUGUGUCUGCACUAGGUGCAAAGGGAAGCUGGGUAGCUGAGGACUACUUGAGAAAAAAUCCAGGGUGUUGUUCGGCUUAGUUUUGUUUUUAAGUAGGUCCACAGUUGGGGCACGGACACCCUACCCCACCCUUACAGAAAAGAUUAAUAAAAAAUGUUCAACAGCAAUACUUUUGUCCGCAUUAGAUGCAAAGGGAAGCUUAGUAGCCAUGGUAGCUGAUGUCUACUUGAUAAAAAAUCCAGGGUGUUGUUCUGCUUAAUUUUUUUUUUUACUAGGUCCAAAGUUGGGGUCGGACACCCUACCCAACCCUUACUAAAAAGUGUAUAAUAAUGUUGUACGGAAAAACUUGUGUCUGCACUAGGUGCAAAGGAACUGGGGUAGCUGAGGUCUACUUGAUAAAAAAUCCCGGGUAUUUUUCGGCUUAGUUUGUUUUUAAGUAGGUCCAAAGUUGCGGUCGGAACCCAACCCCAACCUUACAGAAAAGUAAUAAAACAAAAAUGUUCUACGUCGAUACAUUUGUCUGCACUAGGUGCAAAGGGAAACUGGGUAGCUGAGGUCUACUUGAUAAAAAAUCCAGGGUGUUUUUCGGCUUAGUUUUUUUUUAAAGUAGGUCCAAAGUUGGGGUCGGACACCCUACCCCAACCCUUUACAGAAAAGUUAAUAAAAAUGUUCUACGGCAAUACUUUUGUCUGCACUAGGUGCAAAAGAAGCUGGGUAGCUGAGGUCUACUUGAGAAAAAAUCCAGGGUGUUGUUCGGCUUAGUUUUUUUUUUUAAAGUAGGUCCAAAGUGGGGUCGGACACCCUACCCAACCCUUACAGAAAAGUUAAUAAAAAAUGUUCUACGGCAAAACUUUUGUCCGCACUAGGUGCAAAGGCAGCUGGAUAGCUGAGGUCAACAUGAGAAAAAAUCUAGGGUGUUGUUCGGCUUAGUUUUUUUCUUUUAAAGUAGGUCCAAAGUUGGGGUCGGACACCUUACCCCGCCCUUACAGAAAAGUUAAUAAAAAAUGUUAUACGGCAAUACUUUUGUCUGCACUAGGUUAAAAAGGGAAGCUGGGUAGCUGAGGUCUACUUGAGAAAAAAUCCAGGGUUUUUUAUUUAGUUUUUUUUUUUUUUAUAGUAGGUCCGAAGUUGGGGUCGGAAACCCUACCGCAGACUUACAGAAAAGUUAAUAAAAAAUGUUCUAGCGCAAUACUUAUGUCCGCACUAGGUGCAAAGGGAAGCUGGGUAGCUGAGGUCUACUUGAGAAAAAAUCCAGGGUGUUGUUCGGCUUAUUUUUUUUUAAAGUAGGUCCAAAGUUGGGUCGGACACCCUACCCAACCCUUACAGAAAAGUUAAUAAAAAAAAUGUUCUAGAGCAAUACUUUUGUCCGCACUAGGUGAGAGGAAAGCUUGGUAGCUGAUGUCUACUUGAUAAAAAAUCCAGGGUGUUGUUCGGAUUGUUUUUUUUGAUAAGUAGGUCCAAAGUUGGGGUCGGACACCCUUUUACCACCCUUACAGAAAAGUUAAUAAAAAAUGUUCUACAACAAUACUUUUGUCCGCACUAGGUGCAAAGGAAAAGAUGGGUAGCUGAGGUCUACUUGAGAAUAAAUCCAGGGUGUUCUUCGGCUUUGUUUUUUUUUUAAAGUAGGUCCAAAGUUGGGGUCGGACAUCCUACCCCACCCUUACAGAAAAGUUAAUAACAAAUGUUCUACGGCAAUACUUUUGUCCGCACUAGGUGCAAAGAGAAGCUUGGUAGCUGAGGUCUACUUGAUAAAAAAUACCAUUGCGUUGUUCGGCUUAGUUUUCUUCAAAGUAGGUUCAAAGUUGGAGUCGGACACCUAAUUCCACCCUUAUAGAAAAAUUAAUAGAAAAUGUUUUACGGCAAUACUGUUGUCCGCACUAGGAAAAAUGGAAGCUGGGUAGCUGAAGUCUACUUGAGAAAAAAACCAUGGUGAAUUUCAACUUACUUUUAUUUCUAAGUAGGUCCACAGUUGGGGUCGGAAACCUGACCCCAACCAUACAGAAAAGUUACUAAAAAAUGUUCUACGGCAAAACUGUUGUCUGCACUAGGUGCAAAGGGAAGCUAUGUAGAUGAGGUCUACUUGAGAAUAAAUCCAUGGUGUUCUUCGGUUUACUUUUUUUUAGGUCAAAAGUUGGGGUCGGACACCCUACCCCACCCUUACAGAAAAGUUAAUAAAAAAUGUUUUACCGUAAUGCUUUUGCCGUACUAGGAGCAAAUGGAAGCUGGGUAGCUGAAGUCUACUUGAGAAAAAAAUCCAGGGUUUUGUUUGGCUUAGUUUUUUUUUUAAAGUAUAUCCAAAGUUCAGGUCGGACACCCUACCCCACCUUUUCAGAAAAGAUAAUAAAAAAAUGUUCUACGGCAAUAUUUUUGUCCGCACUGGGUGCAAAUGGAGCUGGGUAGCUGAGGUCUUCAUGAGCAAAAAAUCUAGGGUGUUGUUCGGCUUGGUGUUUUCUUUUAAAGUAGGUCAAAAGUUGGGUUCGGAAACCCUACCGCACACUUACCGAAAAGUUAAUAAAAAAUGUUCUACAGCAAUACUUUUGUCCGCACUAGGUGCAAAGGGAAGCUGGGUAGCUGAGGUCUACUUGAGAAAAAAUCCAGGGUGUUGUUCGGCUAUUUAUUUUUUUUUUUUUAAAGUAGGUCCAAAGUUGGGGUCGGACACCCCUUUACCACCCUUACAGAAAAGUUAAUAAAAAAUGUUCUACGGCAAUACUUUUGUCUGCAUUAGUUGCAAAGGGAAGAUGGGUAGCUUAUGUCUACUUUAGAAAAAAUCCAGGGUGUUCUUCGGCUUAGUUUUUUUUUAAAGUAGGUCCAAAGUUGGGGUCGGACAUCCUAUCCCACCCUUAGUGAACAGUUAAUGCAAAAGAUGUUCUACGGCAAUACUUUUGUCCGCACUAGGUGCAAAGGGAAGCUUGAUAGCUGAGACUACUUGAGAAAAAAUCCAGGAUGUUGUUUAGCUUAGUUUUAUUCAAAGUAGGUCCAAAGUUGGGGUCGGACACCCUAUCCCACCCUUUCAGAAAAGUAAAUAAAAAAAUGUUCUACAGCAAUACUUUUGUCCGUACUAGGUGCAAAGGGAAGCUUGAUAGCUGAGGUCUACUUGAGAAAAAUCCAGGGUCUUGUUCGGCUUAGUUUUAUUCAAAGUAGGUUCAAAGUUGGGGUCGGACACCCUUCUCCACCCUUACAGAAAAGUUAAUAAAAAAUGUUCAACGGCAAUACUUUUGUCUGCACUAGGUGCAAAGGGAAGCCGGGUAACCUUGUCUACUGGAUACAAAAAUCCAGGUUCAUUUUGGAACAUCAGUGAUAAAAGCUUUUUAAAAAAGGGAGAAAUAACGUUCAAUAUAAUACAGUUCAUAUUUUAAUCAAAUGUAACCUUUGGCAAGCAUUUGCAAGGACAGAACUGUUCUUCAAAUUUCAAAACAAAUAAAUCAAGAAUUUCUACAAUUAACCAUUUAAGAAAUCAUAAUACAAAUCAAUAAACUUACUGCAAAGGUUUAAAUCCAACAUGCUAGGACUUCAUUUAAUAGAUUUUGUUUUACUUCAAUAACGACCAGUAUUACCUGUGUAACAUGAUACAUUUGAAUGACAUAAUGACAGUAUGAAGACAAACCCCCUUUGCACUUUUUAGUUUUGCACUGUAUGACACGAUGUCGUUGUCGAGAAAAGAAAACACUUUUCUACUUUGUCUUCCUGUUAAUCAGCAUUCAACAUUAGUAACAUUCAGUACUCAACGCAUCACCCCGACAAAAUAGUAAAUCGAUUGUUAUAUCGACAUUAAAAACACUUGUAAUUUUAUUUGACAAUAGAUUUCUAGGUGAUGAAAAAUUAAUACAAUAAAUUAAAUAGUGGUCGAUAUUUUCAUUGAUUAAACCACAGGAACAAUUAAUACUUUGUAUCAAAUUUGAUUUGAUAAAGUCAGAAUGCAGAACGCUUCAUCUGUUGUAAAAAACGCAAAUGGUCUUCCUCGAAAAAAAUCGAGAUUUUUUUGUUUCUAUAAUAUAGUUUAUGCAACUUUCGUUUAAACAAAACAAUUAAGCAAUAGGUCUAACACUUCUGUCCAAAGGAUUCCACAAUGUAAUGGAUGAUGAAAAAGACUGGAGUAGUUGAUGAAUGGUUUACGGGAAUUGUGGUAUUCUGAUUGUUACUCAAGAUACAAAAUUCUGGAGCUUGGUUAUUUAAUCUUAUAAAAACUAGUGUUUUAACCUCCCAUCUUCCGUUAUUUUUUUUAAAUUACGUGUUACUAUCGUUAUUCCAAUAUUCGAUCAGAAUUUACUUUCUCAUUGUUAUCCCUAACUUGUGAUAAAUACACCAGAAUUGGACAAAUACAAGUGAUGUAAUUAUUCUCCAAAUAUUCCCUUCUUACAAUGUCUAAGUGUAAAUUUCCUUUUUUGUAAAAUAUUAAGCUACUUUGAAGGUUUUUUUUCCCUCAGUUAUCAUCAUGAUUACCCCAUUCAAAAUCAUUACUAAAUAUGACACCGAGAUACUUAUGCGUAUGAACUGUUUCUAAUGUAACAUCCUCAAAAUAAAAAGAAAAAUUACUUUGUAUAGUAUCUCAUAUUGAAUAUCAUAACUAUUUAUAAUUCUGUUAUAUUUGGAUAAACUUUACCAGCCUUCUUUUUGACCACUUCCUUAAACAAUAACAAAAUAUUAAAUUUAUUAGGUACAGUAAGAUCUAUAGGCGUAUUAUCUGUAAAAAGCCUUUCGCCUCCAGAGUCACCAUCAACUCAUUGUCAAAUCAAACCAUAUCAUUAAUAUAUUUUAAACAUCAUAACGGCCCUAACACCGAAUAUAUACUGAGGCACAAAUGUGUUUUACUUUUGAAAACAUAGUUGUUAAUAUAUUAAAUCAAGCCUGUAGUGAGAGGGUAAUGAUUUGUCAUCACUUUUGAAAAAGGGAAUAACAUAUGCAAAGUUCUAUUGAUCGGGAAAUAGUUAUUUUAUAGUAAUAUUUUAUUUCUAACAACAAGUGACAUUUUGUUGCUAACGAUAUCUUGUCUCACACUCUCAUUUGCAUCUAGCGUGAACACAAACACAUUUAAAUCGUGGUCACCUGCAAUAAGUAGUGAAAGAAAACAACAUAGCGAUCUUUAAAUUUAGGUAAAUCUUUGCUAGCAUGAUCAAAAUUGAACACUUCUUUUAGGCACAAUCAAAACUCCCUAGAGACGCCGAAAGGCACUUGUUAUUGACUUGAAAAGCACGAACGUUUUAUGGAAACAUUUAAUAGUAUUACAUUGUAAGUAAACAUGACACACUAAAUACAUUGUUAUGUACUUAUCAUUCCAGUCUACAGGAAUAACUGAAAAUCAAGGGAAAUAACACACUUCAUACGAAUAAAAAAUUUGAUACAUCAUUACGUGUGCUUUACACCAAUAAUUUGACCGUUAAUUAUAAGCUGGUCAUUAGAAUAUGCAAAUAACAGACAAACAUGUCUUAAGAAAAUCAUGAAUAAUUAUAUUUUUGUAAGCCACAAGGGAGAAGCAUCUCUCUUUUUUGUGUUAAAUUUUCAAAGAUUUUUUUUUCUCUCUCAAUUAUCAUGAUACUACUUAUGCAUUUAAAUCAAAUGAUAACAAAACCUGAGUAAUUUUUAACUUUUAUUUCUGUUUCAGACAUAUCAUUGCUAUUUAAACUGAGACGGCAAAUUUUGAGGGGUUUAUAAAAAGUUCUGAAUAACUGGUAAGCAUUUUGUUUUAUUAAGCAAGCUCUAUAUUGUUUAUUAGGGGUAUUUAUGCAAGUGAAAUAACAGUCAGAAUGUUGAAAAUAUGCUGAUAUAAAAACUGUUGCUAUGGUCUUGAUAUUAUAUAAGAAAUGCUUAGUUAAUGAUCUUUUCGGCUCGAUAUUUCGAGUUAAACCUUGAGGCAACUGUUUCUCCAUGCAACACUGCCAUCUGUUCUUAGCAUUAUUUUGAUCGGUAGUUAUUUAAUGACAUCGUAUUACGUGUGAUGUUACAAUGUUUCCUUAAAAUCCUCAUGUGCAUUUCUCACUGAUAAGUGGUUUUCAAUGACAUACAUUAAUGUUAUGUGAAAGGACAAGUUUGAAAAUUUGCACUUCAUUGCACUUUAUUUAUAUGAUAACAAUGACAUUCACAGUAGUUUAGAGUGGUUUGACAGGGCCUGUGUAUGGUAGUUUGAGGUUAUCAUCAGAUGUUUUGUCCAUAUUAUGACUAGUGAAGGUAUACUGAAAGACAUUAAUUAUACGUACACAUUGUGUUCAGAAUAGAUAAGUUUAGCAAUAAAAGGGGCAUUGCCUUAUAGUUCUGAAACAACUUUAUUUUUUUCAGAAAUGGACAAAAAUACACAGAUUCGUACACAGAUUUGAGACGAAAUCCGUCAAGAUUUGGUUGUUGAAAAUUGUGAUACAUUUCCAGAAGUGAAAAUAUAUUAAAAUUGAC
rnacentral:lncRNA from 1 species